CAUGGAUCCACCGCCAGAGAUAGACGUGCUGGAACUUUGCUGCUUUGUCCUCCAUGGAAGUCACCCUUGAGAACUGUACGACUGAGUGUAAGGAGAAACAAAGAUACACAUCUCAACACUGUGUUUUCUGCAGUUUUAACUUGUUCACUUCAUGGCUGCAUAGUGUUCUGCUGUGGUAACCGGGAAGCUGAGAGAAUACAUCUUCAAGGACGUCUAGAGGGCAGAGAGAGCAAACUGGAAGUGGCUCAAAGACAAACUCCUCCUGCAAGUCUUAAAUGUUCCAUAACCACGCAAAUAAUGGCUACAAGAGAACACCAAGUGAUCACAAUUGCUAGCCUGUAGGAAACAUUUCUCAUUUGAACCACUACAUCAUUGCAAUCCCAAAACACAUCACUUUUUUUUUUAAAAAAUUGAAAAUAGAUUAUUCUCUCAUACAAUAUAUACCCACCACAGUUUCCCCUCCUUCCACUCUUCUCCUGACCACCUCUCUCCCCCAGAUCCACUCUCUCUCUGUUUCCCUUCAGAUGACAGCAGGCCUCCAAGAGACAACAGCCAAAACAGGACAAAACAGGAUACACUAAGACAAUGGAAAUGUCCUCAUAGCAAGGUUGGAAAAGGCAACUCAGUCAGAGGAAAAGAGUCCCAAGAGCAGGCAAAAGAGUCAGAGAUAUACCUGCUCUCACUGUUAGGAGUUCCACAAAACACCAAUCUGACAGCAAUCACAUAUAUGCAGUGAACCUGGUGUAGACCCGUGUAGGCCCCUGUGAGCCCUGUUUAGUUGAUUCAUUGGGUCAGGUUUUCCUGGUAUCCUCCAUCCCCUCUGACUCCUACCCUCUUGUUAGGGUUCCCAGAUCUCUGAGGGGAAGGACUCAAUGCAGCCCUUCAAUGUAGACUCUUUCUCUGGCUGAGGGUCUCUGUACCCACUCCCAUCUGCUGCUGGAGGACACCUUUCUGAUGAUGGCUGGACAGGACACUGAUCUAUGAGUUUAGUAGAAUAUCAUUAGGAAUAAUUUCAUUGAUUUUUUUGGUCAGUCGUGUUUGAUUCUACUCUGGGUCUCUUGGCUAUCCAGUCUCUGGUUCCUGGCCAUGCAGCCAGUGUAAGGUAUGGGAUCCCUCUUGUGGAGUGGGCCUCAAUUUAAACCAGUCAUUGAUUGGUCACUCUAAGUUCUGCAUCACCAUUGCCCAAGCACAUUUUGUAGGCAGGACAGACUGUAGGUCAAAGAUUUCUCUUUCACUAGCCUGCAGAGUACUUUCCCACAUCAAAGAGACUAGAAUGUAGGGGUACCUGCAUUCUUUAUGUUCAAUGAAUGAGUCCUCAUGUCAGUUUUUGGAGAAUAACCCUCUGUUCUAGAAUCAGCCUGAGUUGUUUGAGGGAUCUCCAUGGGAUCCCCUUGGCCAACAACUCAACUGAAUGCAGUACAGUCCCACCAAUGGAGGACUUGCCUGGCUACAAAAGGCAGCCAGUUCAGACUCCAUUAUUAGGAGUCCUCACUAGGGUCAUCCUCAUAAAUUCCAGGAAGUCUCUGUUGCACUAGGUUUUCAUACUACACCCCAAAGGCCUCCCAAUUUGAGCUAUCCUUACACGCUUCCCCUUCAUCCCUUCAUUUCACAGCUGAUCCCUCCUGUUCCUGUCCUCAGUCUGCUGCAAAAGCUGUUCUUUUCAUACAAACACACACACACACACACACACACACACACACACACACACACUAUGAUUACCAUAGCAAUUGCUUUAUCAAGGUAACUGAAGAGCUGAAUGUAUGCAGACAAGUGUGUGAUCCAUAAAUUGUAGAUGCUGCUUCAUACCACUGAGCCUACAGAAAAAGCAAGAAGAGGUAUAGACAUUUUGUAUAUACCAGUUUGUUUAUAAAAGUAUAGCAUUUUUGGCAAAGAGAUGUCCGGACCACUCACAUAAUCCAGUACCAACAGAUACUCAGUGUUUUUUGUGAAAACAGAAUGUGAGCAUUUUCUACUAACCAGCCUAAGUGAAUGACUCUGCCCAGUCCUUGUAAAGGCAAUGGGAUGUUUUUUGCUUAUGUCAUUUAGGCCACUGCUGUAGGAAAUCCUUCUGCCAGUAGCCUUUACGUUACCAGCCCACUUGGGCAUGGUCUCUUAUACUAUAAAUGCUGAUGUAAGCAUGUGCUUGCUCUCUCUUCUGGCUGCUGGAUUUGGUUGCUGUUCUCCAUUUGAGCAGAGGACUGUGAUUUGAGAGUCUACCACUAAAUAACUAACCCUUUAUUAUAUUUUAAAAAAAGCUGUUCUAUUUCCCCUUGGCAGGGCGAUCCAUGCAUCCCCCUUAGAGCCUUCCAUUAAACUAACCUCUCCAGGUCUGUGGAU